ACUAAAGAUUCGUUGGUGUAAAAAUCUAAACACGAUCGGCUUGGCGUGGAUAUGGAUUAAAGGAUAUCAAAGUAGGACAUACUCCUUAUUAGUGACUCAUAUGUUUUACUUUUGAACAUAUGAAACGGUAACUAAGAGUGUUGUUAAUUAAAUUUCAAAAAAUGAAUAGCCUAAAAAGUUAUCAAAACGGACUAAAAAGGAAAGGCGGAAAAGAGGUUGGCUGUGAAAUAAAUAACGCGCACGUAUGAAUAGAAAAA